CCUACGGGCGGCAGCAGUCGAGAAUCAUUCACAAUGGAGGAAACCCUGAUGGUGCGACGCCGCGUGGGGGAAUGAAGUUCUUCGGAUUGUAAACCCCUUUCAUGUGGGAGCAAAUUAAAAAGAUCGUACCCCAAGAGGAAGAGACUGCUAACUCUGUGCCAGCAGCCGCGGUAAUACAGAGGUCUCAAGCGUUGUUCGGAAUCACUGGGCGUAAAGCGUGCGUAGGCUGUUUCGUAAGUCGUGUGUGAAAGGCGCGGGCUCAACCCGCGGACGGCACAUGAUACUGCGAGACUAGAGUAAGGGAGGGGGAAGCGGAAUUCUAGGUGUAGCAGUGAAAUGCGUAGAUAUCGAGAGGAACACUCGUGGCGAAGGCGGGUUCCUGGACAUUAACUGACGCUGAGGCACGAAGGCCAGGGGAGCGAAAGGGAUUAGAUACCCGGGUAGUC
rnacentral:rRNA from 1 species